UACGAAGGGGGCAAGCGUUGUUCGGAAUUACUGGGCGUAAAGGGCGCGCAGGCGGCUGAUCAAGUCAGAUGUGAAAGCCCCGGGCUCAACCUGGGAAUAGCAUUUGGGACUGGUCGGCUAGAGUUCGGGAGAGGAGAGUGGAAUUCCCAGUGUAGAGGUGAAAUUCGUAGAUAUUGGGAAGAACACCGGUGGCGAAGGCGGCUCUCUGGACCGAUACUGGCGCUGAGGCACGAAAGCGUGGGGAUCAAACAGG
rnacentral:rRNA from 1 species